GACGAACGCUGGCGGCGCGCCUAACACAUGCAAGUCGAGCGAUGAAAUUUUAACCGAUCUCUUCGGAGAGAAGAUAAAAUGGAUUAGCGGCGGACGGGUGAGUAACACGUGAGAAACCUGCCUUUCACAAGGGGAUAGCCUCGGGAAACCGGGAUUAAUACCCUAUGACACAUUUCCUUCGCAUGGAAGAAAUGUUAAAACUCCGGUGGUGAAAGAUGGUCUCGCGCCUGAUUAGCUAGUUGGUGGGGUAACGGCCCACCAAGGCCAUGAUCAGUAACCGGCCUGAGAGGGUGAACGGUCACACUGGAACUGAGACACGGUCCAAACUCCUACGGGAGGCAGCAGUGGGGAAUAUUGCACAAUGGAGGAAACUCUGAUGCAGCGACGCCGCGUGAGCGAUGAAGGCUUUCGAGUCGUAAAGCUCUGUCCUAUGGGAAGAUAAUGACGGUACCAUAGGAGGAAGCCCCGGCUAACUACGUG
rnacentral:rRNA from 1 species